UACGUAGGUGGCAAGCGUUGUCCGGAUUUACUGGGCGUAAAGAGCGCGCAGGCGGUCGUUCAAGUCGCGUGUGAAAGCCCCCGGCUCAACUGGGGAGGGUCACGCGAUACUGAUCGACUCGAAGGCAGGAGAGGGUAGCGGAAUUCCCGGUGUAGUGGUGAAAUGCGUAGAUAUCGGGAGGAACACCAGUGGCGAAGGCGACUACCUGGCCUGUUCUUGACGCUGAGGCGCGAAAGCUAGGGGAGCAAACGGGG
rnacentral:rRNA from 1 species